GCGAAAAUUUGAGCUAAAACUUAAAAACUCCCUCCAUGAUAAAGUUUUCUCCCGCUCCCUUAAUUUGAGUUAAACAAAGUGGUGGAGAAAAGAAAAAGAGAGUCGGUCUCAGAGGUCUUCCCCAUUUCUGUCUCUCUUAGACAAAUCCAAUUUUUGAUCUGCGAGAUUCAAGCAGAGGGCGUGGAAAUGGAGGCAAGGGUUUGGGUAAGGAAGAAGCAAAGCGACAUUGUAAGGUCUUCCGCGAGGAGCAUCCAGGGCAUCAAGCCGGCGACGGAGAAGGAGAUCGGAAAGCAAGGCUUGAAGAAGCAACUUCUCAAGGAAGGUGAAAGCUGGGAUAUACCCCGAAGUGCGGUGAUGAGCUUUACUAUAUUCACACUUUUGGAUUGGGAUCGAUUGCGAAUAUGUUUGAAUUCAGUCCAUUACACCGGGAUUUUGCUUGAGUUCGAUUGGAGCGGCGAUAGGGGGGACAUCGAUCAGUUCACUCGGACAAGGUGAGGGAAUUUUUGGCCUUUCACUUGUAUUAAUGACUUGAUUAAGUUGUGAGCUGAUUCAGAAGAACGGAAAGAGAUGAAGAAGAAAGCUCUGGAAUGGAAGAGGCUGGGAAUGGAACCAGGUGUUGGUUUGGGUACUCACGAUUUCUCCUUGGUUUCUCAACAGGUUUUGAAUGUUAAUUACUUUCACUUCAAUUUCUUUUGGCUUUUAAAAGGAGAACUGAAACUUUGUUAUCCCUUGUUUGAACUUGUUGAUAUACUUAUAUUAUUCAGUAUCAAAUUGUUAUGCACCCAAGGUGUUUGACAAAAUGAUUCUAAAUUGCUUUCUUUUGAGCUCAAAACUUUGGGUUUAACCUACAGCAGGUUUUGGUCUUCUUUUCUUAUGCUACUAGUGAUUGAUCUUAAUUACCAGUUACUAAAGUAUUUGGGUAACAAGACAUCACGGGAAUGAGUGAGACUGGAGUGUUCAGGUGGUGACUUCCACCAAGGAGGUGCAUAUUGCGUGUAAAGAACUAAAGAUGCAGUUGAAAUGAGAUUGUUUCUGGUUAUCAGAUGGAGACCAAAGAGGCUAUUUUCGGUUACCAGAUGGACUUGUGAGAAUGGUCUAGACUGUGAAGUAGAGUCUUAAGUAUUUAGAUCCGGUUGUUUGUAUUGUGAACGUUUCUGUAAUAUCUUCUCAUCCCAAGGGAUAAGUGCAAAUACUAUAGGCAUUCAAUAGUUUUUUGUU